ensembl:snoRNA
GGCCUUUGUGUUGCCAGUUCACCUUUGGUCACUGGUGCAUGUGGCGUCAAAAAAGGCAUAAAUUAAUGCUUUGCAGUCAUUUCUUACCCUGGAGUUCGGUAUCUUGGGUUGUAGGAGCUGCAUGCAUAAGUAAGAAAA